rnacentral:rRNA from 1 species
GAUGAACGCUGGCGGCGUGCCUAAUACAUGCAAGUCGAGCGAACAGACGAGGAGCUUGCUCCUCUGACGUUAGCGGCGGACGGGUGAGUAACACGUGGAUAACCUACCUAUAAGACUGGGAUAACUUCGGGAAACCGGAGCUAAUACCGGAUAACAUGUUGAACCGCAUGGUUUAACAGUGAAAGACGGUCUUGCUGUCACUUAUAGAUGGAUCCGCGCCGCAUUAGCUAGUUGGUAAGGUAACGGCUUACCAAGGCAACGAUGCGUAGCCGACCUGAGAGGGUGAUCGGCCACACUGGAACUGAGACACGGUCCAGACUCCUACGGGAGGCAGCAGUAGGGAAUCUUUCGCAAUGGGCGAAAGCCUGACGGAGCAACGCCGCGUGAGUGAAGAAGGUCUUCGGAUCGUAAAACUCUGUUAUUAGGGAAGAACAAAUGUGUAAGUAACUAUGCACGUCUUGACGGUACCUAAUCAGAAAGCCACGGCUAACUACGUG